AUGGGAGGUUUGAAUUUUGGCUUCUCUUUGGAGUAUUUUACAAGGACAGAGAUUUUACAUGCUAAAAUGCGCUCUGUAAAGCACAGCUGUAAAAAAAAAAAAAAAGUGAAUAGGUACACGCUGGCAGCAGAAGAAUGCAGAGCUUGUGGUGUUAUUCUGCUUCAUAAACCUGUGUCCUUGAAGUCUCCUGCAUCCCUGCCCUGUCAGACUGAUUUAUGCAGUAGCCAUGUUUGUCAAAGUAUUUGGCACCAGUGA
rnacentral:lncRNA from 1 species